CCCUGGGACUCUGAACCACGGUCACUUCCACCUCCUCUGAACAGCUCCGUCAUAAGCCCCCUGCUGCCCUUGGGAGUCUCCUGUUUUGGAAUUUGAGCUCCAAAGCUGCUUCCUGGCUCUGCAGAUGGCUUCUCCCCACACCAGAACCGCUGGGGUCUCCUCUGUCACCCUGGAGCAGUUCUGAUCAGGACAUUCUUCCACCACCGCCCCGACCCCCCGUUGAAGAGAAAUCCCAACAUAAUCAAGACAGGGCUGCUUGGCAGGACACAGGUGUUACAGAGAGGAGUACCUGAGGGAAGGACAGAGGACAGGGAGCAGAGAGACAGGCUGCAGGAGCAGCUUCCCAGAGUGGAGCAAAGUAUACUGUCACUCCGAGAUGCUCUGUGUUGGCAUGGUAACGGUUAUCCAUGUAAAUAGCUGACCAUAUUUAAUUAAUAAAUGGAAAACAAAGGAGUGGGAGGGAAGUGAGGGGGCUCAGUGUUGGCUGGCUCCUCUCCUCGCAUCUGAGGGCUGAUGGAUUUUUCUGAGUGGGCAGUGGAUUCUGGCAAGAAAUAAGAGACUUCUCAGACUGCCCAGUGCUCACAGUGUUGAAUGGAAGCAGACCCUGCCUCAGCAGAGCAAGACCUGGGGAAGUCCUGGACAGUGCCCUGGGCACAGUGAAGCCAUCUCUGCAGUAACAGCAACAACGAAGGUGAUGGGUGUUACCCUGUGCUACCCUGCCAUGCUCUUCACCUAUGUUACUUUAAUCUACAUAAACAGGGACACUGCGGGGAAGAGGCUAGUGCUACCAUUUUUUAAAGAUGAGAACAAUGAAGCUGGGAGAGGUUAAAUGACUUGACCAAGGUCACAUCGUUAGUAAGAGGCUUUGGUAGUCUGUACAUGAUCUUUGUACAGUCACCUCUCAUUGAAUCAAGGCUGGCCUGGUGAUGUGGCCUAAGCUACACAAUACAACCAACGCCGUGUGAGAGCACCCAGCUCCCCUGGAAAGAAGCCUCCAGCUGCUCUCUGUGCCCUUGGAGCCCAGAGCCACCAUGUAGGAAGCCCAGUCAUCCUGCUGGAGAGACUCUAUGGCUAAUAAGAAGGAGGGGGAGAGGGAGAGGGAGAGAGAGAUGAGUCCAGACUGCAGGUGACCCACCACUGGAGACCACCAGCAA